rnacentral:rRNA from 9 species
GAGGAAGGUGGGGAUGACGUCAAAUCAUCACGGCCCUUACGUCCAGGGCUACACACGUGCUACAAUGGCCGGUACAAACGGUUGCGAACCCGCGAGGGGAAGCUAAUCCGAGAAAGCCGGUCGUAGUCCGGAUUGGGGUCUGCAACUCGACCCCAUGAAGUCGGAAUCGCUAGUAAUCGUAGAUCAGAAUGCUACGGUGAAUACGUUCCCGGGCCUUGUACACACCGCCCGUCAAGCCAUGGAAG